UACGUAGGUGGCGAGCGUUGUCCGGAUUUACUGGGCGUAAAGGGAGCGUAGGCGGGCUUUUAAGUGAGAUGUGAAAUACUCGGGCUCAACUUGAGUGCUGCAUUUCAAACUGGAAGUCUAGAGUGCAGGAGAGGAGAAUGGAAUUCCUAGUGUAGCGGUGAGAUGCGUAGAGAUUAGGAAGAACACCAGUGGCGAAGGCGAUUCUCUGGACUGUAACUGACGCUGAGGCUCGAAAGCGUGGGGAGCAAACAGG
rnacentral:rRNA from 1 species